rnacentral:rRNA from 1 species
UUCCGGUUGAUCCUGCCGGACCCGACUGCUAUCAGAGUGGGACUAAGCCAUGCGGGUCGACGUAGCAAUGCGUGGCGAACGGCUCAGUAACACGUAGUCAACAUGCCCAGGGGACGUGGAUAACCUCGGGAAACUGAGAAUAAACCACGAUAGGUCACGAUUUCUGGAAUGGAUCAUGGCCUAAAUCUACAUGGCCCCUGGAUUGGACUGCGGCCGAUCAGGCAGUUGGUGAGGUAAAGGCCCACCAAACCUAUAACCGGUACGGGCUCUGAGAGGAGAAGCCCGGAGAUGGGCACUGAGACAAGGGCCCAGGCCCUAUGGGGCGCAGCAGGCGCGAAACCUCUGCAAUAGGCGAAAGCCUGACAGGGUUACUCUGAGUGAUUUCCGCUAAGGGGAUCUUUUGGCACCUCUAAAAAUGGUGCAGAAUAAGGGGUGGGCAAGUCUGGUGUCAGUCGCCGCGGUAAUACCAGCACCCCGAGUGGUCGGGACGAUUAUUGGGCCUAAAGCAUCCGUAGCCGGUUCUGCAAGUCUCCCGUUAAAUCCAGCCGCUCAACGGAUGGGCCGCGGAGGAUACUACAGGACUAGGAGGCGGGAGAGGCAAGCGGUACUCAGUGGGUAGGGGUAAAAUCCUUUGAUCCAUUGAAGACCACCAGUGGCGAAGGCGGCUUGCCAGAACGCGCUCGACGGUGAGGGAUGAAAGCUGGGGGAGCAAACCGGAUUAGAUACCCGGGUAGUCCCAG